AGAAGGCAUCCACGUCAUCCUUAACGAUCUUCGUCGACCACCGGACCCGAACCCGGUUUGAAUCCCGACAAAGCCCAUAACUUUAUGCCUCUUGAUAUUAUUAUUAUUAUUAUUGUCGUCGUCUUGACUCCCACUAAUUCCAUUACUGCCCUCGCCGUGGUUGUCCCAGACGACUCUGACCGAUGUCGGGUUGAAGUUAGAGCAGCGGUGGGCGCCGCGGCCGGCGUAGAGAAAUGCGGAGAUGCCGAGGACGAAUCCGACGAUGCCGAUGAUGAGGCAGGAGAAGAUCAGGACCGUCGAUUUGCGAUGUGACGGCG
rnacentral:lncRNA from 1 species